rnacentral:misc_RNA from 1 species
GCAACAGAAUCUCUUCAUCAUCCCGCGUAACGAUGGCGGUGCCGUUGACCAUCACCCAGUGUUCGGCGCGAUGGAAAUGCUUCUGUAGCGACAGUUUCGCGCCGGGAUUCACUGUGAUGCGCUUGACCUGAAAACGAUCGCCAGCAUGAAUCGAUUGGUAAUAUCCCCAUGGCCGGUGAACGGAUUGUGUUUGGGUCGCC